rnacentral:sRNA from 1 species
UGUUGUUCAUUUUUAUGACACUAAUAUUUUUAAAAGAUCCACAGAAAAAAAAUUUAUCUCUGAGUUGGAAAAAAAAAUCCAAAUACUAUUUUUACCAAAAUUUUAUGUGUUGUUUUCCAGUCUUUGAGACAUAAAAAAGAGAAAAUGUCGAUAAAAACAAACCACAUUUUUGAAAAUUAGUGCCGAUUUUUAUUAUGUUGGAGAACGAUCCGUAAGCGUGACUUAUGGCUUUUUAAGCUGACUUGUAUUAUGUGUAUGAUGGACAGUGUUUACAAUAUUAUGUGUAUGAUGGACAGUGUUUACAAUAUUAUGUGUAUGAUGGACAGUGUUUACAAUAUUCCAUGAACCUGGUAUAAUUGACUUUAUGUUCUAAAAUACUUAUUAGACUCUUAGUGGUAAUCUUUAUUGUUUUACAUGUUAUAUGAUAAUUGAAUUGGUUUAUUUGUUAUACCUCAUAUUCAAAGUUGUGCAAUAUGCUUGAUUUAAUCUUAUUUUUAGAUGUAUCUAUUUUUAUUUUGCAUUAUAUUUAUAGUGUUGUGAAAGUUUUGAACGGAAAUAAUGUACUUAAAUAAGAAAAAUGUAUAAGGACAUAGCAUGUUAAAUGUCUUUUUUAAAAAGAAAUGAGAAUGGGAGCGUAUAUUUAUUUUUUUUAAUUUUAUUAUUCAUAUCUGGUUUUUUUUUUUAUUAUUUAUUAACAUCGUUUAGCGCUUUAUGCAAAACGGAAUCUGUGAUAUUUUUUACACAGUGCAUUAUACCUGGUAUUUAUUUGCAAUAAAAUGAAAAACU